GGGGCAACCCUGAUCCAGCCAUGCCGCGUGAGUGAAGAAGGCCUUCGGGUUGUAAAGCUCUUUCGGCCGGGAAGAAAUCGCGUUGGCUAAUACCCAGCGUGGAUGACGGUACCGGAAUAAGAAGCACCGGCUAACUACGUGCCAGCAGCCGCGGUAAUACGUAGGGUGCGAGCGUUAAUCGGAAUUACUGGGCGUAAAGCGUGCGCAGGCGGUUUUUUAAGAUAGGCGUGAAAUCCCCGGGCUCAACCUGGGAACUGCGCUUAUGACUGGAAGACUAGAGUAUGGCAGAGGGGGGUGGAAUUCCACGUGUAGCAGUGAAAUGCGUAGAGAUGUGGAGGAACACCGAUGGCGAAGGCAGCCCCCUGGGCCAAUACUGACGCUCAUGCACGAAAGCGUGGGGAGCAAACAGGAUUAGAUACCCUGGUAGUCCACGCCCUAAACGAUGUCAACUAGUUGUUGGGAGGGUAAAACCUUUUAGUAACGGAGCUAACGCGUGAAGUUGACCGCCUGGGGAGUACGGCCGCAAGGUUAAAACUCAAAUG
rnacentral:rRNA from 1 species